UUCGUGGACAAAAGGGAAACAACCCAGACCGCCAGCUAAGGUCCCUAAUCUCAUCUUAGUUCUUAAGGAAGUCAGAAUGCCGUGACAGCCAGGAUGUUGGCUUAGAAGCAGCCACCAUUUAAAAAGUGCGUAACAGCUUACUGGUCGAGCAAUUUUGCGCCGAUAAUGAACGGGAGUAAGUUCUGCACCGAAGCAGUGGAACACGCUUGCGUGUUGGUAGGAGAGCGCUGUACGUCAGAUACAAGUCGCACCGUAAGGAGCGAUGUCGGGGCGUACAGGUGAUUAUGCCGGAAUGAGUAACGAUAAAGCAGGUGAGAAUCCUGCUCGCCGAAAGCCUAAGGUUUCCUGGGGAAGGGAAAUCCGCCCAGGGUUAGCCGGUACCUUAGUCGAGGCCGAAAGGCGUAGACGAUGGACAGCAGGUCAACAUUCCUGCGCCAUAUGCUGGACCGAUGGAGGGACGGCGUCUGAAGGGUGAGGGGACGGAUAGAAAUGUCCCUCGCCGGUGUGGAGGGUAGCUGUAGGCAAAUCCGCAGCGACAUCCCAAAGCAUCGGACAAAGACGCUUAUGUUUCGAUAGUCAUCUGAAGGACGUCCAAGAAAAGCUUCUAGGGUUGAAGGUAUAUGACCGUACUAAAACUGACACAGGUAGGCGGGACGAGAAGUCCUAGGCGCUCGGGAGAACACUGGUUAAGGAACUCUGCAAAAUGGCCCCGUAAGUUCGCGAUAAGGGGUGCCCCUGGUGGUUCACGCUGCUGGGGGCCACAGUAAAUCGGUAGCUGCGACUGUUUAUCAAAAACACAGGACUCUGCUAACACGCAAGUGGAUGUAUAGAGUCUGACGCCUGCCCGGUGCUGGUAGGUUAAGGAAGUCGGUUCACGCUGACGACCGAAGCCCCAGUAAACGGCGGCCGUAACUAUGACGGUCCUAAGGUAGCGAAGUUCCUUGUCGGGUAAGUUCCGACCUGCAUGAAAGGCGUAACGACAGCUACACUGUCUCAACCACCGACCCGGUGAAAUUGUAGUCGUGGUGAAGAUGCCACGUACCCGCGGUUAGACGGAAAGACCCCGUGAACCUUUACUGCAGGCUGAUAUUGGGUUGAGGUCUAUCAUGUGUAGGAUAGGUGGGAGACUGUGAUCCUGCGACGCCAGUCGUAGGUUAGUCGUCCUUGAAAUACCACCCUUGGUAUGCUUUAAUUCUAACGUUGAUUGUGUGAAUCCACACAACGGACAGUGUCAGUUGGGCAGUUUGGCUGGGGCGGUCUCCUCCCAAAAUGUAACGGAGGAGUACAAAGGUGCACUCAGCCUGGUUGGCAAUCAGGCGUAGAGCGUAAAGGUAUAAGUGCGCUUAACUGCGAGACCCAUCAGUCGAGCAGAUACGAAAGUAGGUCUUAGUGAUCCUGUGGUUCCGAAUGGAAGGGCCAUAGCUCAUCAGAUAAAAGGUACUCCGGGGAUAACAGGCUUAUCGCAUCCGAGCGUCCAUAGCGGCGAUGCGGUUUGGCACCUCGAUGUCGGCUCAUCACAUCCUGGGGGUGAAGAAGCUCCCAAGGGUUUGGCUGUUCGCCAAUGAAAGUGGUACGUGAGCUGGGUUCAGACCGUCGUGAGACAGGUCGGUCCCUAUCUGCCGUGGGCGUACGAAACUUGAGGAGGUUCUUCUUUAGUACGAGAGGAUUUGGAAGGACGUAGCUCUGGUGUACCAGUUGUCGCGCUAGCGGCACGGCUGGAUAGCUAACUACGGAAAGGAUAAACGCUGAAAGCAUCUAAGCGUGAAGCCCUCUCCAAGAUUAGGUUUCGCAUGAGUCCCCUUGAAGACGACAAGGUUGAUAGGUCAGAUGUGUAAGCUCAGUAAUGGGUUCAGCUAACUGAUACUAACGGACAAACGGCUUGACCACUUAUAU
rnacentral:rRNA from 1 species